rnacentral:tRNA from 1 species
GCCGAUGUAGCUCAGUUGGUAGAGCAGCGCUUUCGUAAAGCGCGGGUCGGGGGUUCGAUUCCCUCCAUCGGCU